UACGGGGGGUGCAAGCGUUACUCGGAAUCACUGGGCGUAAAGAGAGUGUAGGCGUCCUGAUAAGUCAGAUGUGAAAUCCUAUGGCUCAACCAUAGAACUGCAUUUGAAACUGUCAGGAUAGAGUUCAGAAGGGGCAGGUGGAAUUAGUGGUGUAGGGGUAAAAUCCGUAGAGAUCACUAGGAAUACCCAAAGCGAAGGCGACCUGCUGGGAUGAUACUGACGCUAAGACUCGAAAGCGUGGGGAGCAAACAGG
rnacentral:rRNA from 1 species